AGCAGCCGCGGUAAUUCCAGCUCCAAUAGCGUAUAUUAAAGUUGUUGCAGUUAAAAGCUCGUAGUUGAAUUUCGGGAUUAAUAUGUUGGUCGUGCCUUGGUACGUACUGGCAUUAUUGAUUCCUACCUUCUGAAGAACCUCGAUGUCAUUAAUUUGGUGUCUUGGGGAAUCAGGACCGUUACUUUGAAAAAUUAGAGUGUUUAAAGCAGGCUCGCGCUUGAAUACAUUAGCAUGGAAUAAUGAAAUAGGACGUUUGAUUCUAUUUUGUCGGUUUCUAGGAUCGACGUAAUGAUUAAUAGGGAUAGUUGGGGGCAUUAGUAUUCAAUUGUCAGAGGUGAAAUUCUUGGAUUUAUUGAAGACUGACUACUGCGAAAGCAUUUGCCAAGGAUGUUUUCAUUAAUCAAGAACGAAAGUUAGGGAUCGAAGACGAUCAGAUACCGUCGUAGUCUUAACCAUAAACUAUGCCGACUAGGGAUCGGAUGAUGUUAAUUUUUAAUGACUCAUUCGGCGCCUUAACC
rnacentral:misc_RNA from 1 species